ensembl:misc_RNA 7SK 7SK RNA
AGAUUGUCAGGUUGAUGUGGCUCACCUGGCUAGGCAGGUGUCCCCUUCUUCACUCACCACUCUGUGUGUGUCUCCUGAAGCUGCACACUUGGUCACUAGGGCUGAAUAUGAUGACCUUCCCUGAUAGAGGGGGGCUGUUCUUUGGUCAAGGGCAUAUGAGUAGCUAUGCUUCCCUACUAGAGCUUCCAAACAAGCUCUCAAGGUCCAUUUCAGUGGAUGAUGGUGUUUGGAAAGCAGUAUCUGAACUAUGGGUUCAUUCAGUACUAGUUAAAUAUUUGCUUCUAAUU